rnacentral:misc_RNA from 1 species
UUUCCGUAGGUGAACCUGCGGAAGGAUCAUUACUGAGUGAGGGCCCUCUGGGUCCAACCUCCCACCCGUGUUUAUUAUACCUUGUUGCUUCGGUGAGCCCGCCUCACGGCCGCCCGGGGGCAUCUGCCCCCGGGCCCGCGCCCACCGAAGGCACCUAGAACUCUGUAUGAAGAUUGCAGUCUGAGCAAAAACUAAAUAAGUUAAAACUUUCAACAACGGAUCUCUUGGUUCCGGCAUCGAGAAGAACGCAGC